CUCAGACCUCACCCAUUAAGACACCAACACAGCGUUGAAAAUCCCUAUGCCGAUCCAGGACUUUGUACUUGGACCAUAUCCCUCCACCUCUUCUUCUAGUGGCUGUUUAACAGUUAAUAUGCCGGACCCUGAUUCAACAAGAUGUUACUGUGGCCAAGAAACGCAAGUACAACUCCCAUCCUCCACCUCCACCACUCUGAGUGACGGGUAAAAUUGCACGCAGGUAAAGUAUGUCACAUGCCAACCCAGCAUAACCAAAGGCAAUUCAACAUGCAGCUCAAUAAUCUAAAAUGGAAAUAUCAGGCAGGUAUUGAAUGUUAGUGAUGGAUGAACCUUACCAAUCCCUGUAAGGGAUCCUGAUAUUUAAGUUCCUGUUUUUUCAGCAACAUGUGUUUUUU
ensembl:lncRNA